rnacentral:rRNA from 1 species
ACGGGAGGCAGCAGUGGGGAAUAUUGCACAAUGGGGGGAACCCUGAUGCAGCGAUGCCGCGUGGAGGAAGAAGGUUUUCGGAUUGUAAACUCCUGUCUUAAAGGACGAUAAUGACGGUACUUUAGGAGGAGGCUCCGGCUAACUACGUGCCAGCAGCCGCGGUAAUACGUAGGGAGCGAGCGUUGUCCGGAAUUACUGGGUGUAAAGGGAGCGUAGGCGGGAUUGCAAGUCAGAUGUGAAAACUAUGGGCUUAACCCAUAGACUGCAUUUGAAACUGUAGUUCUUGAGUGAAGUAGAGGUAAGCGGAAUUCCUGGUGUAGCGGUGAAAUGCGUAGAUAUCAGGAGGAACACCGGUGGCGAAGGCGGCUUACUGGGCUUUUACUGACGCUGAGGCUCGAAAGCGUGGGGAGCAAACAGGAUUAGAUACCCUGGUA